GAGCGGUAGCACAGGGGAGCUUGCUCCCUGGGUGACGAGCGGCGGACGGGUGAGUAAUGUCUGGGAAACUGCCUGAUGGAGGGGGAUAACUACUGGAAACGGUAGCUAAUACCGCAUAACGUCGCAAGACCAAAGAGGGGGACCUUCGGGCCUCUUGCCAUCAGAUGUGCCCAGAUGGGAUUAGCUAGUAGGUGGGGUAAUGGCUCACCUAGGCGACGAUCCCUAGCUGGUCUGAGAGGAUGACCAGCCACACUGGAACUGAGACACGGUCCAGACUCCUACGGGAGGCAGCAGUGGGGAAUAUUGCACAAUGGGCGCAAGCCUGAUGCAGCCAUGCCGCGUGUGUGAAGAAGGCCUUCGGGUUGUAAAGCACUUUCAGCGAGGAGGAAGGUGGUGAACUUAAUACGUUCAUCAAUUGACGUUACUCGCAGAAGAAGCACCGGCUAACUC
rnacentral:rRNA from 1 species